AUUGAACGCUGGCGGCAGGCCUAACACAUGCAAGUCGAACGAGUGGCGGACGGGUGAGUAAUGUCUGGGAAACUGCCUGAUGGAGGGGGAUAACUACUGGAAACGGUAGCUAAUACCGCAUACUAUCGGAUGUGCCCAGAUGGGAUUAGCUAGUAGGUGGGGUAACGGGUCACCUAGGCGACGAGACCUAGCUGGUCUGAGAGGAUGACCAGCCACAAUGGAACGUAGACACGGUCCAGACUCCUACGUGAGGCAGCAGUGGGGAAUAUUGCACAAUGGGCGCAAGCCUGAUGCAGCCAUGCCGCGUGUAUGAAGAAGGCCGUCGGGUUGUAAAGUACUUUCAGCGGGGAGGCGUUACCCGCAGAAGAAGAACCGGCUAACUCCGUGCCAGCCGCCGCGGUAAUAC
rnacentral:rRNA from 1 species